CAUUGCAGGCAGAUUCUUUACUGUCUGAGCCAUCAGGGAAGCCCCCUCCCCACUUAUGGUAGGUCCAGCAAAUUCAGUUCAGCCCCAGAAGCCCUGACUGUGUGUCCGCCGUGUUUGAACCCUGAGUAGGGUUGUGGGAACACAGAGACAGCCCGGAGCGUCUUCUCCAGGGAGGACAAACUCUGGCCGGUGACCAGCCGGCACAAACAGAAGUGUUUGUUCUCUUCGAGUGGCUGAGCAGGAAAGACUUGCUGGAGAGCUCACAAGAGGGGGUGGGGGGCUUGGGUCAGAUGUCUCCAUGUUAUCCCCAUCCUUGCUGUUCUCCUGGCUGCACGGACAGAAAUCCAGUUGCAGACGUGCAGGCCAGAGCAUGGGGAGGUGGCGGGGUCCCCAGGACCUGGCUUCCAACCCAGUCCUCACCUCUUCUUCCGCCUGUGACCUCGGGUGCUCUCCGCAGCGUCUCAGAGCCUCAGCCUUCAGCUGGCUGUGAGCUCAGGGAGACCCCAAGGCUGGGAGGCUCAGGGCAGCAUCUUCUGUGCUCCUGCAGGUCAGACAGCCCCAUGGGGGUCAGCUUAGGUGCUGCCUCUCCGCCGGCCAUCUGCUCGGUUCAAGAAGAACUGGGCUCGGUCACCCCAUGGGAAAUGCCUGCAUGGAUCCCGGAGGAGUGGGGGACGCGUGCCUUGCCCGCUUGGCAGGCAUGGAGCUGAUGGAUGAGAGGGGAGGGCAGACUGCCCUGUGGGUUUCCCUGCAGGAAGGAGGCUGCCCUUGGGGACAGCCACCCACUCAGCCACGGUUGCACAGCCUUCCAAACUCUGACCCAGGUCUCCACUUCCAGCACGCCCUCCAGAGGAGGGGGUUGGGAAAUUCAUUUUUGGGGAUGCCAAGUCUCUCUCUGGUCCUGGGUUCGGUGAUGGUGAGCAGGGAGUCUACCUGGAGGGGGAACAGCUACUGAUUCCAGUGGCUUUCGUUUCCUUCCUUGUUUCUCUCAUUUUAUUUUGUUGGAGCAGCGGCUUUCUUUUCGCUACCUCUGAGAAGACCUUCGGGAGAGGCUGGCCUGGGGUCUUCCCAGCAAAUGCGCAUCUGGCUCCGGGCUGCUGUGAUGGAUAGAGGCAAUUUCCCCGCGAAAUCGGCUGCAGUAUUGGCAGUUGCACGGGACAUCCAUUACAUUCCUGCGGAGAGAGAGCUUUUCCAGGGCGCCUCAGGAUGGAGCGAUGCCACUCACAAGGGGGGUGGGGAAGCAGAAAUAACCUAAAGGGAAAGGCGUCUAUUUUAAUUUUUUGCAGAGCUGCGUCUCCUGCAUAUGGGUCCAGCCCACUCUUGUGAAGCGGCUCCUUUUGGAAAAUAAGGGGACUUGCAAACGGCUUUGUUAAAGAUAAGAAAACUGAGGCACAAGGCAAUGAGGUGACUUGCCCAGGGUCAUCUCUUAGUAAGAAGAGGAGCCAGAUUCAAACCCACGCUCUCUGGAACCCGCAUUCACAUUCCUAACGCUCUUUGCUUCUGUCUCUUGCUCAUCUUGCGAAGCCAGACAACUCCCAGAGCUGCACAACAGAAGCUUCUGAAAGGCGGAGAAUCAAAUUGAGUCUCUCUGUGUUUGAGAGAGGGGAAGAACAUGAAUUAGAACCAAACCAAAGGUGGCCACUUGUACCUUCAAGAGGGGUGUGUGUGACGCUAUUUACACAAAAGGGUAUAGACACUUCUUUUUUUUACGUAUGUUUAAUUUAAAAUUUUCAUUGAUGUAUAGUUCUCUGCCCCACUCCAGUGGCACAUGGGCUGCUGGGUUUCACUGUGACUUAGGGUUGUGGUUGUCAGGCCUCUUGUGGAGCUGGAGAAGAAGGAGGAGAACAAGCAAGUUAAGAUGCCACAUGGUUUAUUUUUUAAAAAAAGAACCAGAUUAAGCCUUUUUUUUUUCCUUAAGCAAAUGUUCCCCAGAUUGUUGCGUUUCUGGAGGAGUGGAUUUUUGGAGGUGCUCCCUGCCCCCUCCACCGUCUCCGCGGACACCAUCCUCCCAAGCCAUUUCAGGAGCAGUUAAUCUAAGUUAUUUGCAUUGUGCUGGCCCAAUCGCUGCUUCUUUCUUUCCUCACAUAUUCAAACGUCCUGCAAGAAACCCCCAGGCCUUCUGCUAGAAGGUUUCUUCGUGUGGAAUACAAGGCAGGAAGGGUCCAGGGUUCUGUCUGGGGCAAGAGGAUUUAACACAGGGGCAAGAAGAAAAUAAAAGCCACCCUUCUCCCAUUUUUCUGUCUUGCCUCUUCUCUCAAAUUCUUGGCGGAAAUUGUCCCGAUGUGGGGCUCAAAAUAAUUUCAUUUACAUUUCAAACAACUCAGAAUAAGGCAGAUAUCUGAGAUGUCUCUAAAGAACAUUUACUGAGCAUAUAGUGCGUCCAGGGUUGGGUAUCCAGGGGUGAAUAAAACAGAGUCUGCUCUUGAGUAUCUUGGAGUUCAGGGGAGACAUCAAGAUGUAUGAUUAAGGGAAAUGAUGCAGGUGCUAUGAAAGAGAGGGGCUUCCCUGGUGGCUCAGAUGGUAAAGAAUCUGCCUGCAAUGAAGGAAACUGGGGUUCGAUCCC